AUGCUUCUCUAGUAAGUGGGAAGCAAUUGACUCAAUGGUCCAAGUCUUUGUAGAUGAGAAUGCGGACUGACACCUUACAUUAAAUGGAAACGGCAAGGCUUUUGCUUAAUAGAGAUUAAAUGCAAGCGACCCUUUUAGGGUUGUCUCGUGUCUUGUGGCCAGAUUGAGUUUCAUUGCUUGGCUGUGCAUAGUCUCUUUCCCUUGUCAAGAUGAGAAAAUUUCCUUCAGGAUUGGGAAUUUCUGUCGUCAAUUUAACAACUCUUCUUUUGUUCUACUCCCAUCCAAAGCUCUACAAUUCA
rnacentral:misc_RNA from 1 species